UGGGGAAUAUUGCACAAUGGAGGGAACUCUGAUGCAGCGACGCCGCGUGAGUGAUGAAGGAAUUCGUUUCGUAAAACUCUGUUCUAUGGGAAGAAAAGGACUUUACCAUAGGAGAAAGCUCCGGCUAAAUACGUGCCAGCAGCCGCGGUAAUACGUAUGGAGCGAGCGUUGUCCGGAAUUAUUGGGCGUAAAGGGUGCGCAGGCGGCUUUACAAGUUGGAUGUGAAAUAUUGUGGCUCAACCACAAACGUGCAUCCAAAACUGCAAAGCUUGAGUUAAGGAGAGGUAAGUGGAAUUCCGGGUGUAGCGGUGGAAUGCGUAGAUAUCAGGAGGAAUACCGGUGGCGAAGGCGACUUACUGGACUUAAACUGACGCUCAGGCACGAAAGCGUGGGGAGCAAACAGG
rnacentral:rRNA from 1 species